rnacentral:tRNA from 1 species
CACAAGGUUAUUCAGCGCGUCGGAAUGGGCCUCAUAAGCCGAAGGUCGCCGGUUCAAGUCCGGCCCCCGCAACCA